rnacentral:rRNA from 1 species
UACGUAGGGGGCAAGCGUUGUCCGGAUUUAUUGGGCGUAAAGAGCGUGUAGGCGGCCAUACAGGUCAGCUGUGAAAACUCGAGGCUCAACCUCGAGACGUCGGUUGAAACCGUAUGGCUAGAGUCCGGAAGAGGAGAGUGGAAUUCCCGGUGUAGCGGUGAAAUGCGCAGAUAUCGGGAAGAACACCCGUGGCGAAGGCGGCUCUCUGGGGACGGUACUGACGCUGAGACGCGAAAGCGUGGGGAGCGAACAGG